CUCAGGCUGUAGUGUCUGGGGGCAGUGGUACUGAUGAUCUUUGCAGCUCUCUCUCCACUUUGCCUUCCUCAGUCCAGCUUCUAUGCUUUUCUCUGCUGCUUUGAGGGCCCUCUGUUUCAGCUGAUCUCCCCAUUGGCUAGGUGGCUUCCCAGGGUGUAGGUUCCUUUCCCCUUUCUCAGCUCCCUCUUAGGAGUGCUGUUCUCAUCCUGAUUCUUAUCUCUCUCUCUCUUUUUUUCUUUGGUUCUCCAGUUAUGUGGAGGUUUUCUUGCUCUUUUUGGAGGUUUAAGGUCCUCUGCCAGCAUUCAGUAGGUGUUCUGUGAGAAUCGUUCUACAUGUAGAUGGCUUUUUAUAGAUGUGUUUGUGGGAGAAGAUGAGCACCACAUCUUACUCUGCCAAUUUGAUCCCACCUACUGUAUCAAAGUAGGUACAGUAUACUUUGUACGACGAGGGUUCAGAAAGUUCUAGUAACUAGUGGAUAGGAUUUUAGGCUAUCCAUUAAAAAGCUGUAAAACCUAGACUGAAAUCACUACCUAAUUCUUAUUUAAUGGAAUGUUGGGGGCAAAAUAUUUUGAGAUGCAUAGCUUCUAUAGAAAAUGAGGAGCAUUAUAACCCAGAGAGAAUUAUGACUCAGAGCCAUGGAGAUAAGAAUGAAAUGGACUGGCUCAGAAACCUGGUCCAUGGCAGUGGCAGCAGACAUGGGGCUGGGAGCCGCUCUGGUAGCAGCAGUGGUGCCUGAGAGGGGAGGGAGGCCAAGACAGUGAUUACAAUACAGUCCGGUAUGUUUUAUUGAGAUAUGUUGUAAGAACACAGAUGAAGAAUAUCUAAAGCAGGAAAAGUUUCCAUGAAGGGUGACAGAAGGUAUUCCAUGAGGAUCCAAAACUACCAAUGGACUAUUCAACCCCUUCCCCCAGCACCCAGGAGCCCCCUGAACUAUGAUACAGAGUACUACAAGUCUACAGGGGGUGUAGCAUGAAUGCUGAAUUAAAGAGGGAACCAGGCACAGAAGGGGCCCCCUUCUAUAGAGACCCCAUGCUCAGGAACAGAGAUACCUGAAGUGGAAAUAGAAAUGAGCAAGAAACAUUAUAAUCCUACCCUCUACCCCACACACAUAUGCAUCCUCAUUCAUGGAGUCCCUGUAACGGACAACAGGGGGAAAAUGGACCCCCUUACGCCCAACACAAUCAGUCAUGACUCCAGGAAACCUGAGCAAAUAAUGCAGCAGGUAUGAUUAAGGCUUUACUGGGGAUAAAACAGGGCUGGGCAGGAACCACACUGGAAAGCAGGGCCUGCACACCAAGCCAGGACUUGUCUUCAGGGCAGUGCUGGGAGUUGAGAGCAGAGCUCUCUGAACCAGGGGUCUGGUUUGGCUCCUCAUAACAGAAGCAACAAUGGAAGGGAAGGAUAGUAGGUUGGUUUUAGUGAAGGAGGGAUAACAUGGGGUGAGAGAGGAACUUUGCUGAAGAUAAGUGGGGACUGAAGCUUGAAAGGAUGGAUGGAAAAGGGGUUGGGAGGGAGAUAAGGGGGUCAAUAGGGCACCUAGAGUGAAUAGAAGGGGAAAGAAAAGGAAAGAUGGUUCUGGGUGCAAGAAGUCCAGGUGUUCUCCAGGGUGCUGGCACAGCAAACACAGCACUGGCUCCUUAUUCCAUCUCCUGGUCUUCCAGGACUCUACUUGUUGCCCCACACAGCAAUCUUUAGAAACAUUGGGUUUGGGUGGAAGCGGCUGGACUUCAUGUAGGCAGAGAUCUUCUUUAGGCCCUGAUGGUGGGAAAAAGAAGUCCAGAUAUCAGGUCUGCUGCCCCCACUGGGACUCAUGCAGAUCUAGGUUUGGGACCCAGGCAUAACCCUCCUAUGUGGGGUCAAAUGGUGGGAUAAAAUGGUCUUUCUGAGGUCUCCAGCUCUGGAAAGUCACCUCUUCCAAUUUCCUGUAAUUCAUGGGAUAUCUUGAUAAGACUUAGCACUCAUAUGGAGACUUUACCCAGUGCUUGGUACUAUGUGUCCUCUAGAGAUGAGGACAUAGAUUUUGAAUCUCUACACAACUACAUUGCAAGAUACUAAGGCACACAUAGGUUAAGCAUGACCCUCAUACUAAUACAGCUCAUAAGUAAUAUGGAUAGAAUAGAGCCAGGCUUGCUCAUUCUCUUGCUCUCUCCCCACCCCCAACUCCCCAUUAUCAUUUCUUUCUGCCAAACCUCCUUCCUCACAGCUGAAAACAAAAAGAAAAAGAGGCCCACUUAUCAUUAGAUUACACAAAGGGCUAAGUCAACACUCAGGGCAUUUGGCCACCAAAAGUGGACCUGGAGGAGAGUACAGGAUGGAGAAAAACAAGAUAAAACAUCUGCUAUUUUAGAUACAUGGGCCCUAAAUAGUUAAGAUGAAUAUCUAAGGAAGAAUUCCAAUGAGCCCAGAUUCAUGCAUCUUUCCAUACACAGAAAAGCAUUCAAAUCAUUAAUUUAUUAUGAUUUUUUGAUCAGCAGAACUUUUUACCAAGAUGUAUGGCUGACUACAUGUAUUUCCUAGUCUUCUUCCCUGAAUUCUUGAGAUCAGUUCCUUCGAGUUGAGAGGCUGUCCCCUGGGCUAUAGUUUUAAGUAAGAUCCCCAAAUAAACUCACACCUCUUACAUUGUGUUGAUAUUUUUUUUCAGUUGGCAGUUUUGGAGACCAUGAAGAGACCCAGAGCUGAUUUUUCGUCACCUGAACUUUGAAAGGAUCUGAAGACUUUAUACCAGCAAGGUCCAUUGUCCCCUCCACUUCCUCAGUAAGUUGCAGAUUUAGGUGCAUCUCUUCUGGUCUCAGAUCUCUCACCUUGGUUAACAAUCCUGUUUUGUUCAUGGUGGAUAAAAAAGGUACCUCACUUCUCAGUUGAAAGAUACUAAGUGCCUAGUUAAGAGACAUUGGGAAGUUUGGAAUAGGUAAAGGGAUAGUUGAUGGCUUUCCUUGAAUUGACUUAGUUUAACAGAGUUGUUGGAAUCAAAGUGUAGAUACUAUAUGAGAAUUCUUAGCUCCAAAGAUAAGGGACACAGCUCUAUCUUGGCCUCUUGGCCACAGAUACUCUUGAGGUAAGAGUAUCUCAGACAACCGAGAAACAUGCAGUACUGGUAGAGGCAAGUCCUCAUGCAAUAACAGCUGUUCCUGAGGGAAAACCCUAUCUUUAAAGAAACUCGCCCAUCUGGGGAUGCACAAAGAUUUGGCCACCCAGCGUUCCCAGUGCUCAUGGUGGUUUUAGCUUGUAGGAGAAAGAAAGUGAAACAAUUAAAAAACUGAAACAGAGGAGUUCCCAUUGUGGCUCAGGGAGUUAGGAACCCAAUUAAUAUCCAUGAGGAUGCAGGUUUGAUCCCUGGCAUAGCUCAGUGGGUUAAGGAUCUGGCAUUGCCAUGAGCUGUGGUGUAGGUCACAGACAAGGCUCAGAUCCCACAUUGCGUGGCUGUGGUGUAGGCUGGCAGCUACAAUUCCAAUUGGACCCCUAGCCUGGGAAUUUCCAUAUGUUGCAGGUGUGGCCAUAAAAAACAAACAGAUAAAUUAAAAAAAACUGAAAUAACUUUCAGGUGACACCUAGAAGAGUUAAAGUCACAAAUAGCUCACUGGCCCAUCACACAUUGAUCAACAGUUGUUUCAUCCUGAUAGACUCUGAAAUGGAAGCAAAACUUUCAAAAGAAAAGAAAGUAGGGUAACAGAUUGCUAACCACUGAGUAACAUCCCAGCCAGGUUCAGCUUUAGUAGUUACAGGGCUUACAUUUUCAAGUACUUACUUACUUGGGGCAACUAUGCCUAAAAUGGUCAAAAUGGGUUUCUUUUGACAUUCCAAAAUUAUCUUUACUUGUGUGUCUAUAUCCAGGGAGAGAAAGCAGGCUGUAAGACCAAACAGACUGAAUGGGAUAUGUAUUUCAAUUGGCAUUGACAAGCUUCUAAAAAAGGAAAUUAUAAAAUAACUUCUUUGCAGAAAAGCAACAAAAAAUUACUUAAAAUUAUUUCAGACUUUUAAAAAGGCCCCUGAAGCUGGCCAUGUUCUGUGCUCCUCCUUGUUCCUUUAAGUGUACACAGACAGGGAGUUCCCAUCAUGUCUCAGUGGAAACGAAUCCAAUUAGGAACCAUGAGGUUGUGGCUUCAAUCCCAGGCCUCACUCAGUGGAUUAAGGAUCUGGUGUUGCCGUGAGCUGUGGUGUAGGUCAUAGACGUGGCUAGGACCCCAUGUUGCUGUGGCUGUGGCAUAGGCUAGCAGUUGUAGCUCUGAUUAGACCCCCUAGCCUGGGAACCUCAAUAUGCUGCAGGUGUGGCCCUAAAAAGCAAAAAAUAAAAAAGUGUACACAGCCAUGCUCUCCUUUGCAUCUCCCUCUCUGAACUUCCCUUUAUGUAACACAAGAAAUGAUUCCUCACAGGAAGCAACAAUAAUUCUAAAGGCUUGAUAAAAUUGUGAUUCUUUUGGCCAAAAAAGAUUUUAAAACUUUUUUUCCCCAAAACUAUGACUUUAAGCAAACAAAAUCCCUUCUAGGAAGAGUUUGCCUUACCUCCCUGUGCUUUUAAGAUGUAAAUGUUCUACCUGACCUUCUUAAGCAUCUUCCACUGUGUUUUGAGAGCUUAGACUCUGCCACUGGAAAAGUACAUAGAUGGUGCCCCUUUGCCAGCAAGUGAAAUAGACUGGGAUUAAAGCAGUCUUUUUAUCUAGAAAUGCUAUUUUUCAGGAAAAUUUGUCCUGAGUGGUCCCAUUCCAUAAGGAGCCUUUCUUGUCUCAACAGUCCUUGCAUCUCCCUAUAUAAGGAAAGCCUUUACUUUCUUAGAAUACAUUUAGGAACCAACUGUCUGGAUCCUGUGAAGGCAUCAUCCUUUGCACUCUCUUGUGCAGAGAUACCUCUUGCAUCUUACUGGUUUAAGCCAUAUUUGAAAUGCUAACAAUGGGUCCUCUAAAUUGGAUCUGAUUUCAGAGAGACAGCAGUGAGUGAUGGCUUGGAGCAAGAUCUUAAUCCUCUGCUCAAGAGUUGAACCUGGGCAGCCUGGAUAAAAACUAGGAAUCCCAGCCACCAGAUCAGAGGCUAAAAGCAGAACUGCCCUGAUUCUUGCCCACUGUUGAAAGCAAAAAUGUUCCAAGGAGGCAAGGACUAUGAAAAGAGGUACAAGGUUUAUCAUUAGAAAUACAGUACAAUAUGGGGGGGGGGCACAGAAAGAAGUAGUCUAUCUAAGGCAGAAGCAAAGCAGUCAUACACAAUCCAAAGGAGGAGUGCAGGUUCGGGUGUCCCCCUGAAUGAGAAGCACACCAGCGAGGUGAUUUAAAUCAUUUAUAUAGGCCAGUUCUUCAGGGUCUUUGUUUUCCUUUGGCUGAAUUACCUUGUGUUAUUUCUCAGACCUGACCAGACCCAGGGCCCUGCCUGAUAUGUGUACACAUCUUUUGGCCAAGAUAGAUUCCAGAGCAAAGGGUAAUGGGAUGGUUAUCAGGACUUAUUAUGGCCUGGCACCUCCUCACUCUUUGACCCAGAGGGGUCUUUCAGUGCAUGUGUAGUUGGAGCCUCCCUGACUUCAAGGAUAGGAAGUAUGUGACCUCUUGAUCUUUUGCCCAAUCAGGGCUUAGCCCCUUCCCUGUCUCUGCUAUUACCAUUAUUUAACAUGUCCAUAGAAGAUAAAUUCCAGCUAUUUGCCAGCUGUUGUUAUUUCUAUUUUAAAGUAUAGAUAGGUGGCUGGUUGUAAAUGUCUAUCACGGAGCCCAGCUAUAUCCUGCCUCAGAUCCACUGGAACACUUUUUUUAAAAAUUUAAGCUUUUUUUUUUUUUUCUUGGGGAGAAGGAUCAAGAUGGUGGAAGAAUAAGUCAUGGCGCUCACCUUCUCCCACAAACACCUAAAAAAAA
rnacentral:lncRNA from 1 species